rnacentral:rRNA from 1 species
AAGCCUGAUGCAGCAACGCCGCGUGAGGGAUGAAGGCCUUCGGGUCGUAAAACUCUGUCCUCAAGGAAGAUAAUGACGGUACUUGAGGAGGAAGCCCCGGCUAACUACGUGCCAGCAGCCGCGGUAAUACGGAGGGGGCUAGCGUUAUCCGGAUUUACUGGGCGUAAAGGGUGCGUAGGCGGUCUUUCAAGUCAGGAGUGAAAGGCUACGGCUCAACCGUAGUAAGCUCUUGAAACUGGGAGACUUGAGUGCAGGAGAGGAGAGUGGAAUUCCUAGUGUAGCGGUGAAAUGCGUAGAUAUUAGGAGGAACACCAGUUGCGAAGGCGGCUCUCUGGAC